UGGAAAGGAAACAAUGCAGCACAAAAAAAGGGAAACGACAUCAUGAGAUGCACUUGGCAAAGCAUCACUCAUCCCCAGCUGCUGUGUACAAUUAGAGUUUGUACCUGGAUAGAAAUUAUGGCAUGGCCCAUCAUCCAGUACAUCAAGAUGAGUGAUUGAGGGGUAAAUGCACAGAAGUGUUGUGAUGUUGGACUGCAAUGUGCUUUUCUGCAAAAAGUACCUGCAGGGUGCCUUAAAGGAGAAGCAGACAAUCUUCUUUAAAAUUAGACAAGGGUCUUGCAGAAGGUUAAUUUUGAAAUGCCAUGGGAAUACAGGAAGAUUGUGUAUGACUGAAUGCUUGUUAUGCAGAAAGCUUCACAGGAACUGGUAAAGACAGCAAACAAAACAGAGUGAAAGAAACUGGAUUGGUGCUCAUGAUAGAAGCAAGCAGUGAAGUUCAGAUCCUCUCGGGAAUAUUUCUGGAAGAAUUGAACUGUAGCUUUUGCCUUCAACUAUGAUGCAAUAUCUAUUCCAGGGAAGUUAAAAUUCCCCUACCCACUUCUACACGUGCUCACCAGUACUCAGUAUUCAGUCACAGAAGAACUUUAAUAGAAAAGGAGAAGGGAAAAAAUCCAAAUAGGUACCUAAGCCACUAAUAUUAAAUAGAUUUGCAAUUUUGUGGUGCAAUUGGAUGCUAGUAGAAUGGAGCCUGGCUGUGGCUUACAGAAAAGCACUCUUCCAAAGCAGAUAGCAUAAAACUUUCCUCACAUAUCUCUGACAGUAAAAAUCAGGCCAAAUUUCCUGUACUCUCAGCAUUGGAAGACUUGAGACCAACCUUAAGUAAGGACUGGCAGACAUGUUUAGGUGUUUGGUCACCCAGACAAGUGGAAAAUGCUCAAAUACUAUUUCUAAAUUUCCUGGUUGAAGUGCUGUGUAUUCCUGUGCAUCAUGUCAAGUCAUUUUGUGGCACAUUGUCUAACAGAAUGUGACUGAUGCUAUGCCUCAGAAACAGAAGUAAUUGACAGUGCGUAAUCUAAUUCAUGAAAACAUGACCUUCAGAAGAUGUACUUUGAGAUAUAUGGCAUGUAAUAUUCUCAAAUAUCCUUUCCCUUAAUUUCUGUUCACCUGACUGCGGACUUUUCUUAGUGGCUUGUCCCUCAUGACAAUGUAUUUGGUGUCAUUCCUUUUCAGAAAUAUCUUUUAAUUUCCACAGUCUUUGAACCAGGAUUUCCAUAUUUUUCCAUCUUGUAAUAACUUGAACAGGUUAUGUUGAGUAUUUCAAAAAUUUGGAAGUGGAAUUCUUAAUUUUUUCUUUGGAAUUAUGAAAGUUUAGAUGUGAUAAAUUAGACUCAUGUAACAAUUAAGAUAUGAAUGUGUACUCUGCAUACAGUUUUCUUUCAUGCAUACUUGUAAGCUGUUAUAUCUUUAAAGAGUUCCCUAAAAAUCUCAAUGAGUGUGGUAAAUCAAUUCAUAAACUGUAACAGCUUUCUAAUGAUUUCGCUUCAAAUGGAAACUAAAUGAAAAGAGUCUUGGUUAAUAUAUUUGAUUCAACUGUAUUAUCCUUAUCUAUUAUCCUUUCAAUAUUUUGUAAUCUGGAAAACAUAGGUUAAACUAUGUUCUGUCACUUAACAUAAAAUUAUCAAUAGAUAUGUUAUUCAUAAAAUGAGAUAAUAAGCACACAAAUACUUAAUUCAUCCUGUUUCCUUUAGUUUAAUCUUUGAUAGAAGCUGAUCAGUGCAAC